GAAGGUUUUACAAUAUAAAACAGAGGAAGGACCAAAAACAGAUGGAGGUGAAACCAGGGGAUUUGAGGGAGCAGCUGAGGGCAAUGAUGAAUGCUGAUAGAGAUGGAGCAGGGAGGGCAGCUCUGGCAUAUUGGGAGCAACUGAUGUGGGCUGGUAGUGCCCCCCUGCCCUGAGACCUGCAGCAGCACAGUGCUGGAGUACCUGUGGUUCCUGAGGGCUGCAUGAUACAGGUUCACUCCAUAAGAGAGAGAGGGAGAAAUCAGUCGCUCCUCGAGGAGAUCCGUCUCCAUCACUCAACCAGCUGCAUCCCUUCAUAAAUCUUCCCUAACUUGCUGAAAUGUCUUUCGAUGGAUGAAGCAACGGAGAGUAGAAGAACAGAGCCUGGCAGGCUGCUUGCACAACUCCUGGAACAGGUGGAAGUGAGAUAGCAGAUAACAGGACUGCAGGAGUGUCUGCAUGGCAGGUUUUUGGGACUGGAUGUCUUCCCUCCCAACACCUGGUGGCUUUGUCCAGCUGUAGCCUUGGGAGGACGAUCUGCCUGUGUUUGGCUCGUGUCCUUGGGGGCUGAAAAUGAAAAACAACAAGAAGAGAAAACUUGCUGUCAGCAAUACUCUGUAUAUCCAGAGCUGUGCUAGGGAACCGCCAAGCUUCCUGAUACCCUGUGUUGGCUGAGAGGCAAUGAGAUUAAGGAAAGCAUAACCUGCAUAAAGAAUUUUUUUGAAGGGCAAAACAAAACAGAUCAUUUCCUCGAUUUAAUGUGAGCCAAUUAUGGCUCAUGGGCUGUUAACUUCAUCACCGCUUCUUCCAAGAAAGACGUUGGGUAAAACGAACCAGCACAGCUCCGCGUGCGCCCGGCAAUGCCUCAGCCCUGGCCAUUUAUCCCCGCGGAUGGAAAAAAGCUAAAGCCUAUGUCACACAAAUGCCCUCUAAAGUAUCCAACCACUUGUUGUACAUCUGCUGACGGAUACCAACUGGAAAGGAGAUUAGCGCUCAGACUCCCGCUCUGGGCUGUCUGCUGCUCCUAAUGAGGACCAGAUUGCAGCCCCCGCCGGCGCUGCACCUCCAGCGGAUGGCGGGAUGGGGAGAUGCCAGGGCGCAUGCCAGCAGCGUGGAACCGUGUG